ACGUCGAAAUCAUCAUGCCCCUUAUGUCCUAGGGCUUCGACACAUGCUACAAUGGCUAGUACAGAGGGCUGCCGAUACCGGCGAGGUGGAGCGAAUCCCUUAAAGCUGGUCUCAGUUCGGAUUGGGGUCUGCAACUCGACCCCAUGAAGUCGGAGUCGCUAGUAAUCGCAGAUCAGCAACGCUGCGGUGAAUACCGGUUCCCGGGCCUU
rnacentral:rRNA from 1 species